rnacentral:rRNA from 1 species
UAGCUACAGGCUUAACACAUGCAAGUCGAGGGGCUUCAUGGUCUUAGCUUGCUAAGGCCGAUGGCGACCGGCGCACGGGUGAGUAACACGUAUCCAACCUGCCGUCUACUCUUGGACAGCCUUCUGAAAGGAAGAUUAAUACAAGAUGGCAUCAUGAGUCCGCAUGUUCACAUGAUUAAAGGUAUUCCGGUAGACGAUGGGGAUGCGUUCCAUUAGAUAGUAGGCGGGGUAACGGCCCACCUAGUCUUCGAUGGAUAGGGGUUCUGAGAGGAAGGUCCCCCACAUUGGAACUGAGACACGGUCCAAACUCCUACGGGAGGCAGCAGUGAGGAAUAUUGGUCAAUGGGCGAGAGCCUGAACCAGCCAAGUAGCGUGAAGGAUGACUGCCCUAUGGGUUGUAAACUUCUUUUAUAAAGGAAUAAAGUCGGGUAUGGAUACCCGUUUGCAUGUACUUUAUGAAUAAGGAUCGGCUAACUCCGUGCCAGCAGCCGCGGUAAUACGGAGGAUCCGAGCGUUAUCCGGAUUUAUUGGGUUUAAAGGGAGCGUAGAUGGAUGUUUAAGUCAGUUGUGAAAGUUUGCGGCUCAACCGUAAAAUUGCAGUUGAUACUGGAUAUCUUGAGUGCAGUUGAGGCAGGCGGAAUUCGUGGUGUAGCGGUGAAAUGCUUAGAUAUCACGAAGAACUCCGAUUGCGAAGGCAGCCUGCUAAGCUGCAACUGACAUUGAGGCUCGAAAGUGUGGGUAUCAAACAGGAUUAGAUACCCUGGUAGUCCACACGGUAAACGAUGAAUACUCGCUGUUUGCGAUAUACUGCAAGCGGCCAAGCGAAAGCGUUAAGUAUUCCACCUGGGGAGUACGCCGGCAACGGUGAAACUCAAAGGAAUUGACGGGGGCCCGCACAAGCGGAGGAACAUGUGGUUUAAUUCGAUGAUACGCGAGGAACCUUACCCGGGCUUAAAUUGCAGAUGAAUUACGGUGAAAGCCGUAAGCCGCAAGGCAUCUGUGAAGGUGCUGCAUGGUUGUCGUCAGCUCGUGCCGUGAGGUGUCGGCUUAAGUGCCAUAACGAGCGCAACCCUUGUUGUCAGUUACUAACAGGUUCCGCUGAGGACUCUGACAAGACUGCCAUCGUAAGAUGUGAGGAAGGUGGGGAUGACGUCAAAUCAGCACGGCCCUUACGUCCGGGGCUACACACGUGUUACAAUGGGGGGUACAGAGGGCCGCUACCACGCGAGUGGAUGCCAAUCCCCAAAACCUCUCUCAGUUCGGACUGGAGUCUGCAACCCGACUCCACGAAGCUGGAUUCGCUAGUAAUCGCGCAUCAGCCACGGCGCGGUGAAUACGUUCCCGGGCCUUGUACACACCGCCCGUCAAGCCAUGGGAGCCGGGGGUACCUGAAGUGCGUAACCGCGAGGAGCGCCCUAGGGUAAAACU